rnacentral:tRNA from 1 species
GCCCGAGUGGCGGAAUUGGUAGACGCAGGGGACUCAAAAUCCCCCGACCCUAGGUUGUGCGAGUUCGAGUCUCGCCUCGGGCACCA